GAUGAACGCUGGCGGCGUGCCUAAUACAUGCAAGUCGAGCGAACGGACGAGAAUCUUGCUGCUCUGGUGUUAGCGGCGGACGGGUGAGUAACACGUGGAUAACCUACCUAUAAGACUGGGAUAACUUCGGGAAACCGGAGCUAAUACCGGAUAAUAUUUUUAACCGCAUGGUUCAAAAGUUAAAUACGUUCUUGCUGUCACUUAUAGAUGUAUCCGCGCUGCAGUAGUUAGUUGGUAAGGUAACGGCUCACCAUGGCCACGAUGCAUAGCCGACCUGAGAGCGUGAUGCGCCACGCUGGGACUGGGACACGACCCAGACUCCUAGGGGCGGCAGCGGUAGGGACUCUUCGGAGAUGGGGGGAAGAUUGACGGAGCAGCGCAGCGUGAGUGAUGAAGGUCUUCGGAUCGUAAGACUCUGUUAUUAGUGAAGACCAUAUGUGUAAGUAACUAUGCACAUCUUGACGGUACCUAAUCAGAAAGCCCCGGCUAACUACGUG
rnacentral:rRNA from 1 species